rnacentral:snoRNA from 1 species
UUUGUGAAUGAUGAUAAAAUUCUCAAUGUUCGCAGUUGAGAGUUAAACAACUCUAUGAAGUUUUUUUCACGUAGCCUUCACUUAGAUGUCUGACACAAAAAAUUUU